rnacentral:misc_RNA from 1 species
AAGACUAUAGACCUGCGGAGUACCUGCGGAGGGAUCAUUAUCGUAUUGUAACAAUUGGGGGGGCCACCGUGGGUUGUCGCUGACCCUUUGAAAGGGGGGUCGUGCACGCCCCCAUAGUGUCAUCCUCAUACAAUCCAACUCACCUCUGUGCAUCACCGCGUGGGUUCCUUUCUGGGUCGAGUCAGACUGGCUCAGAAAAAAGGGGCUUGCGUUUUCCAUACAAAUACCCUUAUAAAUCCA